AUAUAUCCAUCACAGAACAAGACACUCCUCCUGGAUCCACUUGGAGAAACUGCUGCCAAGUUAAAAAGGUGCCAGGAUGCAUCAAGGGCACUCAUGAGGAGAAAAGGGAUAUGUCAAGGUGGAAAUGUGACACAGUGCCUCAUCCCCACCAACCAGACAGCACGUCCUGUGGUGUUUUUGCCAUUGUGUUUGCAGAGAAAAUCUUACACAAUCAGCCAGUCACAUUUCCUGCUUCCCCAAAGGAUGUGUCAGAUUUGCGGUGGCAGACUGCCACUACUCUUCUC